rnacentral:rRNA from 1 species
UACGUAGGGGGCAAGCGUUGUCCGGAUUCAUUGGGCGUAAAGAGCGUGUAGGCGGCCAGGUAGGUCGGUUGUGAAAACUGGAGGCUCAACCUUCAGAGGUCGACCGAAACCAUCUGGCUAGAGUCCGGGAGAGGAGAGUGGAAUUCCUGGUGUAGCGGUGAAAUGCGCAGAUAUCAGGAAGAACACCCGUGGUGAAAGCGGCUCUCUGGAACGGUACUGACGCUGAGACGCGAAAGCGUGGGGAGCGAACAGG